AGUUGAGCGAGGGAGAGAGAGAGAGGGUUAGUGAAGAGGUUGAGCGAGGGAGAGAGAGAGAGGUUUAGUGGAGAGGUUGAGCGAGGGAGAAAGGGCUAGUGAAGAGGUUGAGCGAGGGAGAGAGAGAGGGCUAGUGGAGAGGUUGAGCAAGGGAGAGAGAGGGCUAGUGGAGAGGUUGAGCGUGGAAGAGAGAGGGCUAGUGGAGAGGCUGAGCGAGGGAGAGAGAGAGGGCUAGUGGAGAGGUUGAGUGAGGGAGAGAGGGAUAGUGGAGAGGUUGAGCGAGGGAGAGGGAGAGGGCUAGUGGAGAGGUUGAGCGUGGGAGAGAGAGAGGGCUAGUGGAGAUGUUGAGAGAGGGCUAGUGGAGAGGUUGAGCGAGGGUAAGAGGGGUAGUGGAGAGGUUGAGCGAGGGAAAGAGAGAGGGAGGGAGAGAGCUAGUGGAGAGGUUGAGCGCGGGAGAGAGGGCUAGUGGAGAGGUUGAGCGAGGGAGAGAGGGCUAGUGGAGAGGUUGAGUGAGGGAGAGAGGGCUAUUGGAGAGGUUGAGCGAGGGAGAGAGGGCUAGUGGAGAGGUUGAGCGAGGGAGAGAGGGCUAGUGGAGAGGUUGAGCGUGGGAGAGAGAGAGGGCUAGUGGAGCUGUUGAGAGAGGGCUAGUGGAGAGGUUGAGCGAGGGUAAGAGGG
ensembl:lncRNA